rnacentral:rRNA from 1 species
CGAAGGGUGCAAGCGUUGUUCGGAAUUAUUGGGCGUAAAGGGCGCGUAGGCGGGUUUGUAAGUCGAAUGUGAAACCCCUGGGCUUAACCCGGGAGCUGCAUUCGAUACUGCAAGUCUUGAAUGUCUGAGAGGGAGGCGGAAUUCCAGGUGUAGAAGUGAAAUUCGUAGAUAUCUGGAGGAACAUCCGAGGCGAAGGCGGCCUCCUGGCAGAACAUUGACGCUAAGGCGCGAAAGCGUGGGUAGCAAACAGGAUUAGAUACCCUGGUAGUCCACGCCGUAAACGAUGGAUACUAGAUGUUUGGAGAAUUAACCCUCUGAGUAUCGUAGCACACGCAUUAAGUAUCCCGCCUGGGGAGUACGGUCGCAAGACUA